rnacentral:rRNA from 1 species
GAUGAACGCUAGCUACAGGCUUAACACAUGCAAGUCGAGGGGAAACGAUAGAGAAAGCUUGCUUUUUCUAGGCGUCGACCGGCGCACGGGUGAGUAACGCGUAUCCAACCUGCCCAUCACUUGGAGAUAACCUUGCGAAAGUAAGACUAAUACCCAAUGACGUCUCUAGAAGACAUCUGAAAGAGAUUAAAGAUUUAUCGGUGAUGGAUGGGGAUGCGUCUGAUUAGCUCGUUGGCGGGGUAACGGCCCACCAAGGCGACGAUCAGUAGGGGUUCUGAGAGGAAGGUCCCCCACAUUGGAACUGAGACACGGUCCAAACUCCUACGGGAGGCAGCAGUAAGGAAUAUUGGUCAAUGGGCGAGAGCCUGAACCAGCCAAGUAGCGUGCAGGAUGACGGCCCUAUGGGUUGUAAACUGCUUUUAUAAGGGAAUAAAGUGAGUCUCGUGAGACUUUUUGCAUGUACCUUAUGAAUAAGGACCGGCUAAUUCCGUGCCAGCAGCCGCGGUAA